rnacentral:rRNA from 1 species
UACUCCUACGGGAGGCAGCAGUGGGGAAUUUUGGACAAUGGGCGAAAGCCUGAUCCAGCAAUGCCGCGUGUGUGAAGAAGGCCUUCGGGUUGUAAAGCACUUUUGUCCGGAAAGAAAUCCUUGGCUCUAAUACAGUCGGGGGAUGACGGUACCGGAAGAAUAAGCACCGGCUAACUACGUACCAGCAGCCGCGGUAAUACGUAGGGUGCAAGCGUUAAUCGGAAUUACUGGGCGUAAAGCGUGCGCAGGCGGUUUGCUAAGACCGAUGUGAAAUCCCCGGGCUCAACCUGGGAACUGCAUUGGUGACUGGCAGGCUAGAGUAUGGCAGAGGGGGGUAGAAUUCCACGUGUAGCAGUGAAAUGCGUAGAGAUGUGGAGGAAUACCGAUGGCGAAGGCAGCCCCCUGGGCCAAUACUGACGCUCAUGCACGAAAGCGUGGGGAGCAAACAGGAUUAGAUACCCUGGUAGUCCACGCCCUAAACGAUGUCAACUAGUUGUUGGGGAUUCAUUUCCUUAGUAACGUAGCUAACGCGUGAAGUUGACCGCCUGGGGAGUACGGUCGCAAGAUUAAAACUCAAAGGAAUUGACGG